rnacentral:rRNA from 1 species
UACAGAGGGUGCGAGCGUUAAUCGGAAUUACUGGGCGUAAAGCGCGCGUAGGCGGCUUUGCAAGUCGGGUGUGAAAUCCCCAGGCUUAACCUGGGAACUGCGUCUGAUACUGGAGGGCUUGAGUAUGGGAGAGGGAUGUAGAAUUCCAGGUGUAGCGGUGAAAUGCGUAGAUAUCUGGAGGAAUACCGGUGGCGAAGGCGGCAUCCUGGACCAUUACUGACGCUGAGGCGCGAAAGCUAGGGGAGCAAACGGG